UACGGAGGGUGCCAGUGUUGUUCGGAAUUACUGGGCGUAAAGGGCGCGCAGGCGGCGUGGCAAGUCGAGUGUGAAAGCCCUCAGCUUAACUGAGGAAUGGCGCUCGAAACUACCGCGCUGGAGGGCGGGAGAGGGCAGUGGAACUCUCGGUGUAGGGGUUAAAUCUGUAGAGAUCGAGAGGAACACCGGUGGCGAAGGCGGGUGCCUGGCCCGUACCUGACGCUGAGGCGCGUAAGCGUGGGGAGCAAACAGG
rnacentral:rRNA from 1 species